UACGGGGGGGGCAAGCGUUGUUCGGAAUUACUGGGCGUAAAGGGCUCGUAGGCGGCCAACUAAGUCAGACGUGAAAUCCCUCGGCUUAACCGGGGAACUGCGUCUGAUACUGGAUGGCUUGAGAUUGGGAGAGGGAUGCGGAAUUCCAGGUGUAGCGGUGAAAUGCGUAGAUAUCUGGAGGAACACCGGUGGCGAAGGCGACAUCCUGGACCAAUACUGACGCUGAGGAGCGAAAGCCAGGGGAGCAAACGGG
rnacentral:rRNA from 1 species